CCGGCGACCGGCGCACGGGUGAGUAACACGUAUGCAACCUGCCCUCUUCAGGGGGACAACCUUCCGAAAGGGAGGCUAAUCCCGCGUAUAUCGGUUUCGGGCAUCCGAGGUCGAGGAAAGAUUCAUCGGAAGAGGAUGGGCAUGCGGCGCAUUAGCUAGACGGCGGGGUAACGGCCCACCGUGGCGACGAUGCGUAGGGGUUCUGAGAGGAAGGUCCCCCACACUGGUACUGAGACACGGACCAGACUCCUACGGGAGGCAGCAG
rnacentral:rRNA from 1 species